CGGGGUAUAGCUCAGCUGGAUAGAGCACCUGGCUUCGAACCAGGGUGUCGUGGGUUCAAAUCCUACUACCUCGACCA
rnacentral:tRNA from 1 species